rnacentral:rRNA from 1 species
UACGUAGGGGGCAAGCGUUGUCCGGAAUUAUUGGGCGUAAAGAGCGCGUAGGCGGUCCGAUAAGUCGGCUGUGAAAGUCAGGGGCUCAACCCUUGAAAGCCGGCCGAUACUGUCGGACUAGAGUCCAGAAGAGGCAAGUGGAAUUCCCGGUGUAGCGGUGAAAUGCGCAGAUAUCGGGAGGAACACCAAUGGCGAAGGCAGCUUGCUGGGACGGUACUGACGCUGAGGCGCGAAAGCGUGGGGAGCAAACAGG